GAUGAACGCUGGCGGCGUGCCUAAUACAUGCAAGUCGAGCGAACAGACGAGGAGCUUGCUCCUCUGACGUUAGCGGCGGACGGGUGAGUAACACGUGGAUAACCUACCUAUAAGACUGGGAUAACUUCGGGAAACCGGAGCUAAUACCGGAUAAUAUAUUGAACCGCAUGGUUCAAUAGUGAAAGACGGUUUUGCUGUCACUUAUAGAUGGAUCCGCGCCGCAUUAGCUAGUUGGUAAGGUAACGGCUUACCAAGGCGACGAUGCGUAGCCGACCUGAGAGGGUGAUCGGCGACACUGGAACUGAGACACGGUCCAGACGCCUAAGGGAGGCAGCAGUAGGGAAUGUUCCGCAGUGGGCGAGAGCCUGACGGAGCAACGCCGCGUGAGUGAUGAAGGUCUUCGGAUCGUAAAACUCUGUUAUUAGGGAAGAACAAAUGUGUAAGUAACUAUGCACGUCUUGACGGUACCUAAUCAGAAAGCAACGGCUAACUACGUG
rnacentral:rRNA from 1 species